AACGAACGCUGGCGGCAGGCUUAACACAUGCAAGUCGAACGGGCACCUUCGGGUGUCAGUGGCAGACGGGUGAGUAACGCGUGGGAACGUACCCUUCGGUUCGGAAUAACCCAGGGAAACUUGGGCUAACACCGGAUACGUCCGCAAGGAGAAAGAUUUAUCGCCGAAGGAUCGGCCCGCGUCGGAUUAGCUAGUUGGUGGGGUAAUGGCCCACCAAGGCGACGAUCCGUAGCUGGUCUGAGAGGAUGANCAGCCACACUGGGACUGAGACACGGCCCAGACUCCUACGGGAGGCAGCAGUGGGGAAUAUUGGACAAUGGGCGAAAGCCUGAUCCAGCCAUGCCGCGUGAGUGAAG
rnacentral:rRNA from 1 species